rnacentral:lncRNA from 1 species
UAGGAGGAGUGGCCCUUUGCCAAAUCAGAGGAGAGGGUUGUAGUCCCGCCCCUGGAGCAGAAGGCUGCUGCUGUGUCAGGGCUCCCUAAGGACAGCUUUCACAGCUAGAACGGACCUCUGCUCUGCGGAUAUCCUUCCUUUCCAUGUAGAAGACUGGAGCCAAAGGAGAGUGGUUUUGUUCUUCAUGAGCAAGGUGAUUCCAGACUGAAGAAGUACCAGAGGUUCCUUGGUGUGCUUUCUGGUGAGGCUCCUCUGCCAGGCUCAGAUUUGAUGAAGUUUGUAGAAGCUGAAGGAGGUGCAAGCAACAGAGACCCUCAUCUUUACUUAACAGGAGUGAAGACAUUUGAAAUGGCUCACAGCAAUCAAACCACUUUAAGGAGCAUUCUUUUCUGA